CGCGCGCGUUCAUCACAGAAGAGCAUUCGCGGCAACGCGCGCGUUGUCCUGACAACAAGGAUUCACAAACAAACGCAGUUUCUUAACGGUCGUUUAGCAAUCUUUUGUCCGUUUUGUCUCCUUAUUUCGGUCGCGAAAUGAAGAUAAAAUACGUGUUUGUUGAUAUAUUAACUGUAAAUGCCAUUCACAUAUGAACACUAACGUAACACAGUUAAAAUAAAAAGUCACGGUCAAAGGACAAAAGAGAGGGCUACGUUUUUUGGAGAAGCUGGACCAUUUUGACCUUAUCAUCUUCAGCGGUAUAAUUCAGCGAAAUCAAUGAUGUGCAGGGGUUUAAAAAGUACAGCUUGGGAAAUAUAAAGAUGAUGGUUAUUUUAAAGAAGAAGCCUGACACAUUGGAGACUUAACCAUCUUCAAAGGACAAUGCUACAAUUCAAGGAAGUCGACAGUUGUCUCAAUUAUACAGUUUUGCCUUUUUUUUGUACCAUAGUCUAAGUUUGUAUUUUGAUUGCCUAGAAGGUAUUUCUUAUUAAA